CCAAGAGGAAGGGAGGAGGAAAAGGGAUGGACUGGGAGCUUAGGGUUAGUAGAUGCAAACUAUUACAUUUAAAAGGGUACACAACAAAGUCAUACUGUAUGGUACAGGGAACUAUAGCCAAUUUACUGGGAUAUACCAUGAUUUAAAAUAAAUAUGAAAAAGAAUACAUAUGUAUACAUACACACAUAUAUACUUUGCUGUAUAGCAGGAAUUGGCACAACACUGUAAAUCAACUAUACUUUCGUAAAAAAAUUUUUAAAUUUCUAGGGUAUGAAAUAAUGGUAACCAGCACCUAUAUGCUAACGAGACAUUUUCAAAUAAAUUAAGGAAUCUCUUUACCAUUUUCUUUGAGAUCUUGAUUGUCAGCAAUUUUUUUUUUUUCUUUUUAGAUCUGUACCUUUGGCAUAUGGAAGUUCUCAGGCUAGGGCGAAUCAGAGCUGCAGCUGCUGGCCUACGUCACAGCCACAGCAACACCAGAUCCAAGCUGUGUCUGUGACCUACACCAUAGCUCAUGGCAAUGCUGGAUCCUUAACCCAAUAAGCAAGGCCAGGAAUUGAAUUUACAUCUUCAUGGAUACUAGUUGGGUUUGUUAAUCACUGCACCAUGAUGGUAACUCCAGAUACCGGUUUCAUCCAAUGGUGUAUCCCGGUUCUGUGCCUGCACUGGGUCUCUCCCUACAUUUGGAAGGCUAGGCUGAGGUACUUAAUCUUAGCCAGCUGUCUGCUCUAUCUACUCUCUCUUCUUCUUUGGACACUUCUCUUUUGAAAUGGAAUUAAGGUAAUAUUUUUUUCCCUCCCUUUCCUCUCUUUGUUUUCUAUACACACUGUAUUUAUUUUAUAACAACAACAAUAUUUCACAUCUUGGAUUGUAAAUUCCUAUUGGGCAAGACUGGGUUAUUUAAACUUAUUUUUAAAGAAUUUAGUAAAUUAUAGGCCCAUGAGGGUACUUUAAGAUUAAUAAUAGAUUUUCAUUUAUGUGAGAGCUUGGUAUACAAAAGCAUAAGUGAUGAACUAAGGUUAUAAGCAAAAAUCACGGUGUGAUGUGUAUGUUUGUGUGUUCGUAUCUGAUGAGAGCCAUAGUUACAGAACACUUAAAUGUUUCCAUGAAAUUGAACUUCCAUCUUACACUUAACCCAAAAAUUAACUCAAAAUGAAUGCUGAGCAUAAGACCUGAAAGUGUAAAAGUCCUAGAAGAAAAACAAAGAUAGCAAGCCCCUUCAUAUAGGUCAUGGCAAUGAUUUUUUUCAUGACACCAAAAGCAAAUGCAACAAGAGCAAAAACAAACAAACGAAACCAUAUCGAACUAAAAAGCUUCCGCACAGCAAAGGAAAUCAUCAACAAAAUGAAAAGGCAAUCUACUGAAUAGGAAAAAUAUUUGUAAGUCAUAUGUCUGAUAGGGGUUAAUAUCAAAAAUAUAUCAAGAGAUCAUAUAACUCAAUAGCAAAAAUAAACAAUUGGGUUAAAAAUGGGCCAAAGUUCUGAAUAGACAUUUUUUUCAAAAAAGACAUUCAGAUGGCCAAUAGGUACGUGAAAAGAUGCUCAACAUCACUAAUCAUUACAGAAUGCAAAUCAAAACUACAGUGAGAUAUCACCUCUCAGUCUGAUUUCAGAAUGAUUAUUACCAAGAGAUAAGCAAUUACGGUUGUUGGUGGGGAUGUUGAGAAAAAGGAACCCUUAUGCACUGUUGAUGGGAAUGUAAAUGGGUGAAGCCACCAUGGAAAGCAGUAUGGAGGCACCUCAAAAAACAAAUAAAUAAAUAAAUAUAGAACACCACAUGAUCUAGGCAUUCCACUUCUGGGUAUUUAUCCAAAGGAAAGGAAAUCACUAUUUUGAAAAGAUAUCUGCACCCAUGUUCACUGCAUGUAUAAAAGCCAAGAUGUGGAAAUAUGGAAACAAUCUAAGAGUCCAUCAAUCAAUCAAUGAAUGGAUAAAUAUAAUGUUAUAUAUGCAAAAUUAUAAAAUCGAAUAUUAUUCAGUCAUAAAAAAAGAAUGAACCUUUCCCAUUUGUGACUGCAUGGAUGGACCUUGAUGGCAUUGUGCUAAGUGCAAUAAGUUAGAGAAAAACAAUAUAGUAUGAUCUCAUUUAUAUGAGGAAUCUAAAAAAUAAAAAUAAAGCUCAUUUAUACAGAGAACAGAUUGGUGGUUGCUAGAGGCUUGGGGUGGAGGGUUGAGAGAAAUGGGUGAAGGGGGUCAAAAGCUGCAAAUUUCCAGUUAUAAGAUGCAAGCCAUGGAAAUGUAAUGUAGAGCAUGGUGACUAUCAUCAAUAAUAGUGCAUAUCUGAAAGUUGCUGGGGGAGUUCAUCUUAAAGUUCUCAUCAUCACAAGAAAAAAAAUUUUUUGUGACUGUGUAAAAAGAAAUCGCUAGAAGAUAAAAUUCAGUCAACUGAAAAGUGAACCAAAAUAAAUUACUCUGAAAAGGAAAAAAAAAAAAUUCCUAGAAAUGUAUAACAAGCCUUUAUUUUUCUAAGGACAUAACUUUGAUCCUUUCAUCCUUGUUUCAGUUAUAUUUAUGGUGCUUUGAGUUUCACUCAGGGCUCCAUUUUUCCUUUUCUGUGAUACAUUUUCCCAUAAUAUUUACUAGUUUUAGUGAAUACCAGGAGCAAUGGACCAUCAUGUACUUCAGACUUUGCAAGACCCUUACAUUAAUCAGAAAUCCUUUCCUUCUCUCUUCCCUAAAGAAAUUGGGCAGUUUCUAUGUAUUUUCUGACCACCGAUCUUGGCUGUGCAAAAGUCUACAUUAAAGGGUCCAUACUGUUUCAUAGUAUGUUUAAUUUAACCAAGGAAACGCAGAUCAUGAUCACCCCAUUUAAAAAUGCUUCACUCAAUGAAUGGGUGGAUGGUUGUUUAUUAUUACUUCUUACUUCAGCUUUUAAGUCUGAAUCCAGCACUGUGAUGUGUUAUAGUGUUGUUGCUGUCAUUUCAUCAUCUGCAUGUUAAUGAGGUAUUUAGAGGCAACAAUAAAUGUUCUAGUGAACAGUAAUCAUAAUAAUAAUUAAUAUUUGUUGAGUGCCUACAUGGCUCUGUUCUAAACUGCCUUAUAAUUCACUUAACAUUCACAGUAACACUACGAGGUGGGUAUUAUUUUGAUUCUCAUUUUGUGCAUGAGGAACGUGAAGUUAAGAAAUGCUAACAUGCUAGUUUUAAGUGGUAGAACUAGAACUCAAAUCCAGGCAGUCUGACUCUCAAAUCAGUGUCUUUUUUUUUUUUUAAAGCCAAACCUUUAGCAUAUAGAAGUAAGUUCCCAGGCUAGGGAUCAAAUUGGAGCUACGGCUGCCUGCCUACACCACAGCCACAACAUGGCCAGAUCUGAGCCACAUCUGCAACCUCCACUGCAGCUCAUAGCAACACCAGAUCCUGAACCCACUGAGCGAGGCCAGGUAUUGAACCCGUGUCCUCCAUGAAUACUAGUUGGGUUCAUUACUGCUGAACAACAGUGGAACUCUCACAAACCAGUGUCUUCCACAUUGAGGCUGUGAUCAAUGUGCAGGAUUGGAGACUAUUAGCUGGAUAUCAUAUACGGUUUUUGAUAAAUCGAACUUACCUUGAAGUAAGUACUACCCAUAAUUAAGUUCUUUCUUAACUGCUAUCAUGUACCCCUACUAUGCCAACAGAAGGGAGGAUCCCUGGAAUUUGAGAACAGAGAGGCCAAUGCCCUAGUGCUAAACUUUGGGGUAAAAAAAAAAUUUAGUGCUGUAAUCAUAGAAAUAAGCAAAGAAUGCUAUACAAACAAAAAUAGAUAAGGACAGCUGAAUAGAAGAGGUAAAUAUUUGGUCAGGCUUUGCAACAUUGGAAGGACUGAAAUAGGCAGAGGAGAAUGGGAGAAAGCAUUUCAAAAAGAAAAACAGUGGAGUGGGAAGAUGGCAGAAGAGUAAGAGGACAUGCUCACUUUCUCCCACAAAAACACACCAAAAAAACACAUCUACAUGUAAAACAAUUCACACAGAACAUCAACUGAAUGCUGGCAGAAGAACUUGAACCUCCAGAAAGGGCAAAAAACUCAUGUCAGAACUGCGUAAAACAAAAGAAAAAAUAGAGAGAGAAAAGGAAUCAGGAUGGGUCUAACACUCCCGUGAGGGAGUUGUGAAGGAGAAAGGGAACCUAUACCCUGGGCAGCCACCUAACCCACAGAAAGAUCAGCCGAGUCAGAGGGAACUCCAAGAAGCUGAGAAAAGCACAGCAGCAGGUCUGAGAUCCAAAAAGCAGAGUGAGAGAUGCAGAGACCAUCUAAACCACUGGCACAGACACCAUAGACUGAGAUGUUCAGUGAGGGCUGGGCACUGAGACUUAGGCUCUGGAGGUCAGUCCUGGGGAGUGGGCUGGGGUUGGUGGUGUGGAGACAGCCUAAGGGACUAGGGAGCAGUGCACUGCUGGCGGGGGGAGUGGUACACUAAGGGCUGGGGAGUGGAAAGCCACUGCAGGGGAACCCAGGAAAAGGUCCAGACCCGCAGGAGAGGCAAGGCACCACUGUUGGGAGGGGGAGAGGAGGAAGUGCAGGCCACCAUAGAAAACUCCUCGGGCCCCAGCAUGCGCACAUGCCCAAUGGAUCGAUCUCAGAGAGCUGAGCACUCCCCCCUGGUGCCUGUGCCCAGCCUGCAUGGGUCUGGCCCACCGGCACCUUCACACACUCCCAGCGCCCACACCCCGCCGUCAUGGAGCCAGCCUGCCAGACCACCCUGGACUGUGCCAAACUACAGUUUGGCUUCCCCAAAUUUGCAGAAAAAGAAAAACACAAGCAAGAUGAAGAAGCUCAGAAAACAUUCCCAGUUAAAGCAACAGGAGAAUUCACCUAAAGCAGUCAACAAUGAAACAGACCUCUGCAGUCUGACGGAAUCUGAGUUCAAAAGGGAGAUAGUGAAAAUACUGAAGGAAUUAAGAGAGGAUAAGAACAGUAAUGCAGAUUCCUUUAGAAAGGAACUAGAAAAUAUAAGGAGGAGCCAAGAAAAACUAGAAAAUUCAUUUGCAGAAAUAGAAACCAAGCUAAAGGCAAUAAAGGCCAGAAUGAAUAAUGCAGAGGAACAAAUUAGUGACAUGGAAGAUAGAAUAAUGGAAAUCACCCAAACAGGAUAACAGACAUAAAACCAAAUGAAAAAAAAUGAAAACAAUAUAAGAUACCUAUGGGAUAAUAUAAAGUGGGCCAAUCUAUGUAUAAUAGGAAUUCCAGAAGAAGAAGAAAAAGAAAAGAGGAUUAAAAUAUAUUUGAAGAAAUUAUGGCUGUAAACUUUCCAAAUCUAAAGGAUACUGAUAGCAAGAUACAGGAAGCACAGAGGGCCCCAAAUAAGCUGAACCCAAACAGGCCCACAUGAAGACAUAUUAUAAUAAAAAUGGUAAAAGUUAAAUACAAGGAGAGGAUUCUAAAGGCAGCAAGAGAAAAGCAAAGUGUUAAUUAUAAAGGAACCCCCAUAAGGCUAUCAGCUAAUUUCUCUACAGAAACACUACAGGCCAGAAGGGAGUGGCAAGAUAUAUUUAAAGUGCUGAAAGGAAAAAGAAAAAAAUUCAACAUCUGGAAUACUCUAUCCAGCCAGAAUAUCAUUUUAAAAUAGAAGGGGAAAUAAAGAAUUUCUCCAACAAACAAAAGAUGAAAGAAUACAGCAAGACUAAACCCAUUCUAAAAGAAAUACUGAAAGGGCUUAUCUAAAUUAAAAAAAAAAAAAAAAA
rnacentral:lncRNA from 1 species